CUUUUGGCGUGCUUAACACAUGCAAGUCGAACGGAAAGGCCCUGCUUUUGUGGGGUGCUCGAGUGGCGAACGGGUGAGUAACACGUGAGUAACCUGCCCUUGACUUUGGGAUAACUUCAGGAAACUGGGGCUAAUACCGGAUAGGAGCUCCUGCUGCAUGGUGGGGGUUGGAAAGUUUCGGCGGUUGGGGAUGGACUCGCGGCUUAUCAGCUUGUUGGUGGGGUAGUGGCUUACCAAGGCUUUGACGGGUAGCCGGCCUGAGAGGGUGACCGGCCACAUUGGGACUGAGAUACGGCCCAGACUCCUACGGGAGGCAGCAGUGGGGAAUAUUGCACAAUGGGCGGAAGCCUGAUGCAGCAACGCCGCGUGCGGGAUGACGGCCUUCGGGUUGUAAACCGCUUUCGCCUGUGACGAAGCGUGAGUGACGGUAAUGGGUAAAGAAGCACCGGCUAACUACGUGCCAGCAGCCGCGGUGAUACGUAGGGUGCGAGCGUUGUCCGGAUUUAUUGGGCGUAAAGGGCUCGUAGGUGGUUGAUCGCGUCGGAAGUGUAAUCUUGGGGCUUAACCCUGAGCGUGCUUUCGAUACGGGUUGACUUGAGGAAGGUAGGGGAGAAUGGAAUUCCUGGUGGAGCGGUGGAAUGCGCAGAUAUCAGGAGGAACACCAGUGGCGAAGGCGGUUCUCUGGGCCUUUCCUGACGCUGAGGAGCGAAAGCGUGGGGAGCGAACAGGCUUAGAUACCCUGGUAGUCCACGCUGUAAACGGUGGGUACUAGGUGUGGGGUCCAUUCCACGGGUUCCGUGCCGUAGCUAACGCUUUAAGUACCCCGCCUGGGGAGUACGGCCGCAAGGCUAAAACUCAAAGGAAUUGACGGGGCCCCGCACAAGCGGCGGAGCAUGCGGAUUAAUUCGAUGCAACGCGUAGAACCUUACCUGGGUUUGACAUGGAUCGGGAGUGCUCAGAGAUGGGUGUGCCUCUUUUGGGGUCGGUUCACAGGUGGUGCAUGGCUGUCGUCAGCUCGUGUCGUGAGAUGUUGGGUUAAGUCCCGCAACGAGCGCAACCCUUGUUCACUGUUGCCAGCACGUUAUGGUGGGGACUCAGUGGAGACCGCCGGGGUCAACUCGGAGGAAGGUGGGGAUGACGUCAAGUCAUCAUGCCCCUUAUGUCCAGGGCUUCACGCAUGCUACAAUGGCUGGUACAGAGAGUGGCGAGCCUGUGAGGGUGAGCGAAUCUCGGAAAGCCGGUCUCAGUUCGGAUUGGGGUCUGCAACUCGACCUCAUGAAGUCGGAGUCGCUAGUAAUCGCAGAUCAGCAACGCUGCGGUGAAUACGUUCCCGGGGCUUGUACACACCGCCCGUCAAGUCAUGAAAGUUGGUAACACCCGAAGCCGGUGGCCUAACCAUUGUGGGGGAGCCGUCGAAGGUGGGACUGGUGAU
rnacentral:rRNA from 1 species